GCAGUCAGUAGCUUGCAUGCAGGUCAUAGGAGGAGAUCCAUAUGUCCUGUAAUUUGUUUUUAUUGUUAUUAGUGCACUUACCCAAGAAGGCCAGAAGAGGGCAUUGGAGCCCCCGAAGCUGAAAUUACAGGCAGUUGUGAGCCACUGCUCUUAGGGAUCUGCUGCUGUGAUAAAACACAACAACCAAAUCAACUUGGGAAGAAAGGAGUUUGUUUCAGCUUAUACUUCCAUAUUGUAGUCCGUCACUGAAGGAAGUCAGGGCAAGAACUGGAAAGCAGGAAGUGGAGAAGUCAUGGGGGAAUACUAUGAUCCUGGCUCGCUCCUCGAGGCUUCCUCGGCUGCCUCCUUAAAGCAUUCAGGAGGACCAGUACAGAUCAGGGGAGCACCAUCUCCAGUGAACUGGCCCUCACACAUCCAUGUCAAUCAAGAAAAUGUCACGGAGGCUUGCCCAUGGGCCAAGCAGGUUUUCUUUCUUUGGAGUGAACAAGGAAUUGGCUUCUUAGGCUGGGAGAUAAGGACUUACUAGACUGAACCACCUCCUUCCAACUUUGAGCAGUUUCAAAGGUCAGGACUUGGGGCUUCGGAACAAGUUGUGCAGCUUCAUGGUUUUGGGUCUGGCUACACGCAGAAACAACCUCCCUUUCCGCCUCCUUCCCACGUGUUGAAAAUGAUAAAAAUCCCCAUGGCAGAGUGCCCAAAUGCCCUUCAGGGCAGUGCCGCCCAAUUUAGCAAGUGCCCAUGGCUAGAGUUGAGACUGUCCCCUCAUUAGAAAUACACCAAAGGCUAAGACCAAAGGGCUCAAUUCCUUUACAGAACGUGGCUACAAACAUCACAGCCCCAGCACACAGAACAGAAGACAUUUGUUACAGACAGGCACCAAGGCCACAGCUGUGGAUGCUUGUAGCCUUACCAGCUGAUUAAAUGUUGAAACUUCAGUUGUGACAAUCAAGCAGAUAAUACUGC
rnacentral:lncRNA from 1 species